rnacentral:lncRNA from 1 species
AAAUAGUCCAUCAAAAAACACACACAUGGACAGACACACAUGGACAGACACACACAUGGACAGACACACACAUGGACAGACACACAUGGACAGACACACACAUGGACAGACACACAUGGACAGACACACAUGGACAGACACACACAUGGACAGACACACACAUGGACAGACACACACAUGGACAGACACACAUGGACAGACACACACAUGGACAGACACACACAUGGACAGACACACACAUGGACAGACACACACAUGGACAGACACACAUGGACAGACACACACAUGGACAGACACACACAUGGACAGACACACACAUGGACAGACACACACAUGGACAGACAACACAUGGACAGACACACACAUGGACAGACACACACAUGGACAGACACACAUGGACAGACACACACAUGGACAGACACACACAUGGACAGACACAACAUGGACAGACACACACAUGGACAGACACACACAUGGACAGACACACACAUGGACAGACACACACAUGGACAGACACACACAUGGACAGACACACACAUGGACAGACACACAAAUGGACAGACACACAUGGACAGACACACACAUGGACAGACACACACAUGGACAGAUACUCAUGGACAGACACACACAUGGACAGACACACACAUGGACAGACACACAUGGACAGACACACACAUGGACAGACACACAUGGACAGACACACACAUGGACAGACACACAUGGACAGACACACACAUGGACAGACACACACAUGGACAGACACACACAUGGACAGACACUCAUGGACAGACACACUCAUGGACAGACACACAUGGACAGACACACACAUGGACAGACACACUCAUGGACAGACACACACAUGGACAGACACACAUUGACAGACACACUCAUGGACAGACACACUCAUGGACAGACACACUCAUGGACAGACACACUCAUGGACAGACACACUCAUGGACAGACACACUCAUUGACAGACACACUCAUGGACAGACACACUCACACUUACUAACAGUUACACUGACAAAAUAUUUACAUAAUCUCUUAAACUGUUGACAAAUUUGAUUGCAUGUUAAAGUUAUUCUGAACAGCACAGUUUUGUCCCUCUACCUCUCAUUCUCUC